AUGCCGCCAGGAGGAGAAGGAGGGGGCGAGCACGGCUGCACGGUGCAGAGCCACCCGCCGGUCACCGUCCGUCGCGACGAAGACGCUCUGCCCCAUUCUACGCCGCCGCUCCCCGCCAUUGUCCCGGUGGCUUCCGAGGAUGUAAAGAAGAAGCAGGUGCAGAAGCUGGAGCAAGAGCAGCAGAUCGUGCCGAGCCUCCCCGAGGGCGCCCUCGUCGAGAUCCUUUCGCGUGUGCCCUACAGGUCGCUCUGCCGCUUCAAGUGCGUGUCCAAGCCGUGCCUCGCCCUCUGCUCCGCCCCGAACAUCCGCAAGAGGUCGCCACAGACCCUCUCCGGCUUCUUCUACAAGAACGCCCGUGUCCUCAAUUUCCGCAAUUUGAAUGGGAGAGGUCCGCCACUUGUCGACCCCUCUCUCCCUUUCUUGCGCCAAAGGUACCGCCACAUUUCUGUCCAACACGUCUGCGGCGGCCUUCUCCUGUGCAGCUGCUCGGAUAAUCUGCAAGACGAAUCCUAUUAUGUUGUCUGCAAUCCUGCUACCCAAGAGUGGACUGUGCUGCCUCCUGUCGGAUUUCCAGGUCCCGAUCCCAUCCCUUUCCUAGGUUUCGACCCUGCUAUUCCAUCCCGCUUUGUGGUGUUUGCUCCCGAGAGCUAG
rnacentral:rRNA from 1 species